ACAAUAUUUCCCUACUCUGUAAUUCCCCCUCCUUUUCUAUUUAAACCUUCCCCUCAGCCCGUAUCCAAUUGUGACCUAACCUCCACUCACGCUGUUACAACUAACUGCCAGGUGGCAGUAUAUUCCUCUUCCCUUUUCUAUUAUACACAUAACGUAUAAGAGGCCUAUCAUUACCCCCCUCAAUGAGAGACACCUUGUCCUCAAGAUGGAAGUCAGGAAAGUGCUCUUUAAUUGUGUCAACUGAUUCCCAUGAAGCUUCAAACUGAGGAAGUCCUUUCCACUGAAUAAGUACUUCAAUACCAAACUGAUUGUUAUUGGGAGAUUGGCGUAUAUCUAAGACCUGAUCAGGCUCCACAAGCCAUUCCAAAUCCUCAGCAAGAAUAGGGGAAAGUGGCUGACACAAAUCAGCUGAACCAAGAGCCCGCUUGAGCUGGGAAACAUGAAACACUGGAUGAAUAGUUGUCGAAGAAUGAAGCUCUAACCUGUACGUCAUUGGACCAAUUUGCUGCACUACUUUGUAAGGACCAAAAUAUCGUGGGGAGAGCUUCUCAUUUGGUCGCUUGGCAAGGGAACGAAGACGAUACGGACGAAACUUUAUAUAGACAAAAUCCUCAACUUCAAAUUGGACUGCACGUCGAUGAGCAUCUGCAGAUGACUUCAUUUUGGAUUGGGCACAGCAGAGAUGAUCCUUUAAUUCAUUUAAAAUUAGAUCACGCUCUUGCAAUAACUAAUCCACGACCAGAACAGAGGUGGAAUCUGAUCCAAAACGUAUCAACGGUGGUGGGUCUCGUCCGUAAACUGCUCGAAACGGUGUUGUAUUAGUGGAGGAGUGGAAUGUGGUAUUAUACCAGUAUUCUACCCAUGAAAUCCAUGUAGACCAACGUCUAUGCUUGUUAUAUGAAAAACAUCGAAGGUAUGUCUCCACACAAUGGUUGACCACUUCCGUUUGUCCAUCCGUUUGCAGAUGAUAUGCGGUACUAUGGCGGAGAGAAGUACCCUGCAACCGAAAUAGCUCUGUCCAAAAUCGGCUAAGAAAUACUUUGUCACAAUCACUAAUAAUGGAACGGGGAAAUCCAUGUAAUUUGACAACAUCCCGAACAAAGAUAGCAGCCACCGUUUGAGCUGUGAAAUGAUGCUUGAGCAAUGAGAAAUGAGCACAUUUGCUCAAUCGAUCCACAACAACUAAAAUGGAGUUAUAACCCUCAGACUUAGGAAGCCCCUCAAUAAAGUCCAUUGUCACAUCGUCCCAUAUUUUGUCUGGAAUAGGCAGUGGUUGUAGUAACCCAGUAGGCGACAAAGUUAGGGUCUUAUUUUGUUGACAUACUAUACACUUCUCCACAAACUCUUUGAUAUCAUUUUUCAUGCCAACCCAAAAGAAAUCUCUUGUGAGUCGUUUGUAAGUCCGCAAGAACCCGGAAUGCCCUCCAACCACGCUAGCAUGGCCCUCUUGAAGAAGUGCUGGAACAAGGGGUGAGGCCUUGGGAAGGACUAGGCGCCCCUUGUAAAGGAGAAUGCCAUGGUCCAAGGAAUACCUAGGAUAAGCAUCCAGAUCAUCCAGCAGCCUCUGUUUAAUCUUACCAAGGUGUGGGUCAGCUUCAACUUGUGAACUGAUCAACAAAGUGUCUAUGCGACUAGGAACCAUGAGGGCAGCUAACUCCAUAGAAAUAGGGAUGCGAGAUAAGGCAUCAACUGCUUUAUUCUUCAUUCCCGGCCGAAACUGAAUUUCAAAAUCAUACCCAAACAGCUUUGCGACCCACUUUUGGUACGACUCAUUCACUAUUCUUUGCUCUAGUAGAAACUUCAAGCUACUUUGAUCCGUUCGCACAAUAAAGUGGCGAUCAAGCAGGUAAUGACACCACUUCUGAACUGCUAAGACAAUAGCCAUUAACUCUCUUUCAUAUAUGGACUUUUGUCGUUACCUUGCUGUGAGGACUUGGCUAAAAUAAGCUACUGGUUUAUGACUUUGCAUCAAAACGGCACCCAAACCAUACCCCGAGGCAUCCGUCUCUACAAUGAAGAGUUGGCUGAAGUUGGGCAAAGCUAAAACCGGUAUUGUUGUCAUAGUUGUUUUCAAUUUUUGGAAGGCUACCUCAGCCUCUAGGUUCCAAUUAAAAGCAUCUUUUUUGAGUUGCUGAGUGAGAGGCUAAGAAAUAGCUCCAUAUCCCUUUACAAAUCGAUGGUAGUAUCCAGUCAAUCUGAGAAAUCCUCGUAAUUCUUUAAGGGAUUUGGGUGUGGGCCACUCUACCAUGGCUGAAAUCUUGUUGGGAUCAGUAGCAACCCCCUUGGCAGAAACCAAAUGGCCCAGGUAUUCCAAUUGUGGUUUAGCAAAGAGACAUUUCUUUCCAUUAACGUGCAGUUGGUGGUUCACCAGAAUGGACAACACACUUUGCAAAUGGUCACAAUGCUCCUUCAAGUCUUUGCUGUAGACCAAUAUGUCAUAAAAAAAUACGAGCACAAAUUUUCGAAGGUGUGGCCAAAAUAUACAGUUCAUUAAUGAUUGGAAAGUCGCUGGUGCAUUGGUUAGCCCAAAAGGCAUCACCAAGAACUCGUAAUGACCUUCAUGGGUGCGAAAUGCAGUAUUGGGGAUGUCUUGUUGCCAAACUUGAAUCUGGUGGUAACCUGAUUUGAGAUCUAGUUUGGAAAAAAUGGUCACGCCAUGAAGUUCGUCAAGUAACUCAUCAAUCACCGGAAUGGGGAACCGAUCCGGGACUGUAACUUUGUUGAGGGCGCGGUAAUCUAUACAAAACCUCAAUCCUCCAUUUUUUUUUUUCACCAACAACACUGGACUAGAAAAUGGGCUUAAGCUAGGCCGAACAAUUCCUGCCUCCAGCAUCUCUUACACCAAUCUCUCUAUUUCAUUCUUUAGAAUAUGUGGAUACCGGUAGGGUCGGACAUUAACCGGAGAUGCUCCCAGAAUUAAUUGAAUGGCAUGAUCAAUAUCACGACUUGGUGAUAACCCUGUUAUCGACUCAAAAAUUUGUUGAUGUUGAGCUAAUACUUCUUUAACUGUUUUCGGGACCUCUUGUACUCCUUCACUCAAAUUCGAAGUGGUGGAAGUCUGACAGAGUUCCACCCAUACCCCUUGGCUAUGGUGCUGCAGUGCUCUAGCCAUUGCUUUAUGAGAUACCUCAGUCCGACUAAGGCUCGGGUCUCCCUUUAACACUAUCACUGCCUUCCCCAUUUUGAUCUUCAUUGUUAGCAUCUUCCAAUUUACUUUCACGUCUCCUAAGGUCCCCAACCAAGGCAUUCCUAGAAUCACAUCAGUGUUGCCUAAUUCAAGUGGAAGAAAAUCUUCCACUACGGUGAGCCCCUACAUUGAAAUACAAACUCCUCUACAAAUGCCCUUCCCUUUCACGGAUAUCCCGGUUCCCAUCAUCACCCCGUAACUCGUUGUUGUAGUUAAUGGAAGUGCUAAUUGUUGAACCAAUUCAAGGGAUAAAAAAUUGUGGGUAGCCCUACUGUCUACAAGGAUGAUUACCUCUUUUGACCCGAUCGUCCCUUUGAUCUUCAUAGUUCCCGGCGUAGUUAAACCGACCACGGAAUUUAGAGAUAAUUCCACAGCGUCUUUCAGCUCGAUGAGUGCAAGUUCUUCGGUUGCUCUGUCGUCAAACUGGUUAUCGUCUUCCUCCUCAUCUUCGUGCACCAAUAAAACCCGUAAUUCUUUCUUACAGCGAUGACCAGGGGAGAACUUUUCUUCACACUUAAAACAGAACCCCUUCUCUCUACGGGCUUGAAGCUCCGAUUCCGUAAGUUUCUUUAUCAGAAUCUCACGUCGCUGGCUCAUCGUCUUCUCGCCGACAACCACUGCCCUAGUCUGAAAAAUUUCCUCAAUCUUCCACUCACCUCGAUUUGCAGAUGACAACAUUUUGGUGCUCUUUGGGCCAUUUGGGCCAUUUGGUUCACGGGCUGCUCUCAUGGCUAAAUUCCUGUCUUCAAUUCUUUGGGCCAUUUCCAUCUAGUGGCCCAGCCUAUAUGGUUGCAAUAGACGUAGCUCAGCCCGGAUCUCAAGAAGCAGCCCAUUCAUAAACGUGUUUUCCAUUACCUCCUCCGAAAUCCCUUUCAAUGGAGUCGCCAGAAUCUCGAAUUCCCGCCGGUAUGCUGCCACUGUCCUUUGUUGUCGCACCGCCAAAAACUGUUCACAAAGGCUCCCUUCUUGAGUCGGACGAAAGCGAAGCAACAGCCGCCUCUUCAAAUUUUCCCAACUCCCAAACACCUCCCUCGAAUCAGUCCACUGGUACCAAGAGAGUGCGUCCCCAUCCAAACUCAUCGCAACGGUGACUAAUUUCUCUUCUUCUGUGAGUCCGUACGUUGCGAAGUAUCGAUUGGCCCGAAAGAUCCAGCCGUCCGGGUUCUCUCCCAUAAAUACAGGCAUCUCCACCCGUCGGCUGCCGCGCCAUUCUCCAUUUUCGCCUCGCCUCAUCUCAUCCAACGCCAUUCCCCCCCUCCCACUGGGUUCCCCAACUCCAGGGAUCCAUCUUGCCCGAUCUUCUCGUUGAGCAGCAGUCGUCGUGUUCCGCCCUAAUGACAACUCCGCCACUGCCUUCUGUGUCUCUUCCAGCGACUGCAGCACUCGCAUUACGUUCUGAGCAAGGUCCAUCACCGUCUUUUCCAUUCUUGGUAAGCGUUGCAUCUCCUCUCUGAUUUCUCCAACUUCCUUCUCUAGACAAUCCACGCGACCUUCAUUCCUUUUCUGAGCCAUCUAGAUCGAUGCUCUGAUACCAAAUUGAUAGGUAUCUAAUGGAGAAUUAUUAUUGAAUUUCAAGAAUUUCAAGAAACAAGAGUCCCAACCGGUCCUCAAAUCCCUACCAGAUCCACAAUAUUUCCCUACUCUGUAAUUCCCCCUCCUUUUCUAUUUAAACCUUCCCCUCAACCCGUAUCCAACUGUGACCUAACCUCCACUCACGCUGUUACAACUAACUGCCAGGUGGCAGUAUAUUCCUCUUCCCUUUUCUAUUAUACACACAACGUAUAGGAGGCCUAUCAGAUUGUCACCUGGAUAUUGGGUUGGAAUAACUUCAGCAGGAUUUAAUCCUCCAAUCCUACAUAGCAAGGUUGAUUCUAGCAUUUGUACAGUCUUCAAGGACAUGGUUAGGCUCAAUGUAACUUAUGUGGUUGGUUGAGUGAAGUUCCAAAAGUCCAAAACAUGUUGAACAGAAGAUACUAUAUAUACCAUUCUUCGUUUUCUUGCCAAUGACAGUCGCCUUCGAAGCCAUCCUUCAAGCUCAGUAUUUUUGUUGAUAGAAUUCAAUUGGUUAGGCAUAGGGUUAGUUGUAGGAUUAAGAUUAGGUAUAGCAGAGGAAGAACAUUAGGUUUAAUGGGUAGAAGCCUUUCUUUCUCUGUGCUUUUCUUUACAUUUCUGCACUUUUAACACCUGAAAUGAGGAAUGAGGAAGGCAUGUAUUAUUGUAGCUAAAAGUUUGGAUAAAUAGUCCUCCUAAAUUCUUAUCAGUUAGCUAUAUUUCUAAGUAAUAGUUUUUGUUUGUAAGACAGCAAUGAAUGCUUUUGAUAGUAGGAAGUAUGGAGAUGAUAAUGUGCAUCUCUCUACUAGUCCUACCUUCUAGGGUUGUAGAUUGAGCCCAGCAGUGCAUUCUGUAAAU
rnacentral:lncRNA from 1 species